GUGUGGGGAAUGGAGCGGAGAGCCACCCGAACUGGGGGCGUUGUGAUGGCGGGGGCUACAGCCUUCUGAGACCCGAGUGGGCAGGUUUGCACCUUCUGGGCGGAGCAAGGCGGGUGGCCCAGGGUCGCAGGGCCGGGGAAUGUGGCAGUCAUCGGCGCUGCUGCGGGGCUAGGAGAAAGGGAAGCUGUGGAAACCUGCAAGCAGGUUUAAAUCCGAGCCCUACUGGGGCCACCCCAAGGCUUGAAAUCACCUCUCCACUCUGGAUGCUGGAGUUAAGGCUCUCGUUCCUCACCUGGGGUUUGGAAUAUGCCCAGAGUAGGAUUUCAGAGCUGGAAGAGGCCUCAUGUUCUGGAAAAGACGUGUGUGGUCCAAGCCCUCCUGCCUGAGACAGCAGUCAGAGAGGGAAAGACUGCCCCGGAAUGGAUUUAGGAACCCAGGACUCUUGACAAAGACUGCUAAUUCAGCAGCUGGCAGCUGGGGAGCG
rnacentral:lncRNA from 7 species